CCUGUCAGUGUGGUAGAUCUCAGCCUCUUAAUAUUUUUUCUUCCUUUGUUCUUUUCUCCUCUUUGGAUGACCCGGUUCCCUACAGACACCGUCUUUCUGAUCCUGACCUCUUCCAAACCCCUUCUUCUCAUCUUAGCUUUGUUGCUGCUGCAUGCCAGCUGCCCCAGACAUUCUGACCCUUACGUUGGCACUUUUUGUCUCUGCUGUAGCCUUCUGAGAUGCUCCCAGGAUGGCUCAGCACCACCUCAUGUUCCUGCUAGGAGCAAAUUGCUCAUGGCACAGCCAUGAAGUUUUGGGAGCCCAAAGACUUGUCUGUCUUGGGACCCUUCAGAAGGAGCCAUGAGCUGUCCUCACAGCCCAAAUCCAGCUCAGAAUUUUGGCAGAGGGAGGAAGCCUUCUGCUCAUGGUUAGAUAUUCAUUUGAGCAAUUUUCAGCGGACUCUGAACUCCUUUCCCCACAUCCCUGCUGCAGCCCCGGGAUCCGACCACAUCUGGGCUGACGGUUUGUUGGGUUUGACAAUGUGAGCGCAGUGAAUAGGCUGCUCAGCACUGCGAGCCAUUUCCCUCCAAUGGCUGCAAAAAUAAAUGGUGGGACGUAUUCCAGUGCAGUGCUGCAACCACCCCAAAUACCACUAUAAAAUUCACAGGCACAAAAUAGAGUGAGUGCAUUAAGCAAGGCUUAGGGGGAUUAUCGAAUUAAAUCGGUGCCCUCUCCACCCUUCCCCCAGUCAAAGAUAUUAGGAAUCGAAAUACAAAAAAGGGUGUUAAAACAGCACAAUGGGCUCCACUAAAACCUAUAAAAGCAGAGAAACUCAUUGUCGAGGCCGUUGCUUUCUUCCAGGCUCCUAUUGUGUUUGGGCACAGCGAUUCUGCCGGCGAUGGGAGGGCUGUGCGUGGGUAAUCCUGGGAGCCACCACAGCCCUAAUGCUGCCGGAAUGACUGCGCCGGUGGCAUUCCCCCACAGAAAGGCAACGUCACAGGGCUGUGUGCCCCCAGCACUGCUGCCCGCUGCUCUGCCUGCAUCAUCCCCGCAGCCCUGUAGCCGCACAGCCCUGCAGCUGUCAUCUGCUGCCUGCAUCGCAGCAAGGCUUGCAGCACCCACGGGUCUGCUGUGUGCACGCAGCCUCUGCUUGUUAAUCCGAACGGGGCUUAUUCAGAAUUAAAAAACAAAAGCAAACAAACAAACAAAGCAAGCAAAAACAGCCUUUAAACGUGAUCUACGUGAACAGCUUAUGGUGGUGCAGCAGAACAGCCUCCCAGCACGCAGCCAUAGCUAUGAUGUGGCAUCACGGAGUGGGUUUUAGGUUAAUGCGUGGCCCUCUGUGCCUGCUUUAAUUAAAAGAAGUACAGAAAAAAAUUGAAUUUAACAUUAAGUAUUUUAAUAACUUAAUGGCGUGAAUCAUAGAAUCACCAAGGUUGGAAAAGACCUCCAAGAUCAUCUAGUCCAACUGUCCACUGACCACGUAUUUCCCCACUAAACCAUGUCCCUGAGUACAACAUCUAAAUGGUUCUUGAACACCUCCAGGGAUGGUGACUCCACCCCACCCCUGGGCAGCCCAUUGCAGUGCCUCACCACUCUUUUGGUGAAGAAAUUUGUCCUAAUUUCCCACCUGAACCUCCCCUGGUGCAACUUAAGGCUGGUACCUAUUGUGCUGUCACUGCUACUGGGGAGAAGGGGCCAACCUGCACCCUCCACAACCUCCUGUCAGGCAGCUGUAGUGAUCAGUAAGGUCUCCCCUGAGCCUCCUCCACACAGAACAAUCCCAGUUCCUUCAGUUCCCAUAAGAUCUGUGCUCCACACCGUUCACAGUUCCACUGCCCUUCUCUGGACACACUCCAGCGCGUCGAUGUCUUUCUUGUAGUGAGGGACCCAAAACUGAACACAGCACUCAAGGUGCCACCUCAGCAGUCCUGAGCACAACGGGAUGAUUACUUCCCUGCUCCUGCUGGCUGCACCAUUUCUGAUACAAGCCAGGAUGCCAUUGGCCUUCUUGGCCACCUGGACACACUGCUGACUGAUGUUCAGCUGAGCUCUGACCGGCACCUCCAGGUCCAUUUCUCCCACACAGCCUUCCAGCUGCUCGGCCUAACUGCAGGACCCGGCGCUUGGUCAUGUUGAAGCUCAUCCCGUCAAUGUCAGCCCAGCGAUCCCACCUGCCCGGAUCAAACGACUAGAUGUGACUAGAUUAAAUAUUUAAUAUAUAAAUACUUAAAAUCAAAUCUUAAUUCCUGGCACAUGUACAGAAUACAUAUUACCCAAAUGACCACAGAACCGUUCCCUUACGGGGGAAUCCCUUUUCCUCGUGCCUUUCUUAAUGCUGUUACAGACCCCCGUCAUGCACGUCCCGCAGUAUUUAAAGCCUUUACUUCAGCAGAGUAAUAAAAUAAAUUCACUGGGCCCGGGAUCUGCGGAGCGAGGAAAUGAGACACCUGUGUGGCAGCAAAUGGGAUUUACGGGAUUCUGAGCUCUCUGGGGCGCACACGGGUUUUGUUGCUGCACGUGCGCCAGUGCCUGGAGGGAGAGCUGCGGGCACAGCCAGAGAAGCGUCGUUAAUAAGUGCUAAUUAGCAAAGCCACCGGGUUUCCUUUGACCUGACUGCAAAGCCGCGCUGUGAGGUGUGGGUGGAAGGGUGAGAAGAGAGGAGCAUCUUUGGGUGGGAGCCCUGCGCUCCCCCAUGGCCCUCCCCUCUGCCUCCGUGCUGCGGCGCAGCUCAGUGCGGCUCUGUGCUGGGCUCGGGGUGCUGCCUGCGUGUGACAGCAUGGCCUGGGAGAAAACCAAAGCUGCGGCUUUCCAAACACGAGUAAUAUUGCUAUGGCAACAAAGGAACUCACCUGAAAAUGAAAUGUGUGCCGGAAAGCAGCCCUAUGUAUUCAGGGAGCAGAAAAAGACAGAUCCUGGUUUAUAUUAUUAUUAUUAUUAUUAUUAUUAUUUUAGCUUUCCUGAACUCUCGACCUAUUAAAAAAAAAUCAAUUCCUAUCCGAGAUAAAACAUGAACUGAACGUGAGCCAAUCUCUGCUGCUAAAAGAAACUCCCAGACCCGGAUCACCCCCCGUCCCCCACACCUUCUCCCCAUUGCCGAGGCUGCCACAACCCGGCAGCAUUCCCAUCGCUCAGCCAUCCACUCAUUCAGGUUGGGACCUCCAGCCCACCCCCACCGUGCUGUGUCAGCGCUGCGCCUCCGUGCUCCUCAGCACAUCCGGAUUACCCCCAAGGACACAUUCGGCAGUGACACCUGCGGUGCAUUUAGGACCCAUCUUUUCCUGGAUACAGUUUAAAUGUCUCAGAACCCACUUGUGAAAGCCCUGUGCUAACGAGGCUCGGCCCAUCCGUGCUGCUCACCUGAUGGGGAAACGCAGUGGUCUGUCACACUCAUCUAUAAUAACGGAUUUUUAUCUGCAGUUAUGGGGUUUUCUCACUCUUAAUUGCAGUGAGUGAAGAGCUGUUUUCCAUAGCGCCGUGCGCUGUGUUACCCUAUGAAUUAUAAACCUUUCUUUCGAGCUUAGCAGCCAUUCCAACAGCAACCCAAGCUACAACUUCAGCCUCUUUUGAGCUCAGGAGGGAUUCCUCUGCUCACACCGGUGCUGAGCCAGGAGGACUUCCCAGCAGCAAUGGGACAGGACGGGGCACCCCGCUGUCCCCACACCCCAGCCCCACACACGGCCCUGAGCGGGGGCUGCCCUCCCCCCGGCUUUUUGGAAGGGAAAUGAAAAAAAGCAAAAAAAAAAAAGAAUGCUUAAAGCUGCUGCGCUCUGCCCUUUUCCUUUCCACUUUGGAAGCCUUUUUAACGUGCAGUUUUCCAGCAAUUUGAAGGAAAAUUGCCCUGAAAGAAUGAAACAAAACCAAACGGAAAAAAAAAAUCUGCCUUAUUUUUUCCAGCAAACCCCCCUGUGCCACACAAGCAGCUGCAGAGAAUUUCUCUUCCAAACAGAUGAUGUAAUGGGCUUUGUCAGCCAACGCUGUAGUGAAUAAAAACCUAGACCCUAAAAUCAUCCGAGCUAUUGAUGAAGCCCAUAAGCGUGGAAAGAUUUGUAGGAGGAGGCCUGAGGGGAAGGCAGCUCUCGCAGGGCUUCCCUCAGACCGUGAGCCCAGCCCUCCUCGGUGCUCCUGGUGCAAAACGGAGCGGGGUCCUGACCUGCAAAGGGCGAGCGAUCAGCUCCAGCACACAUCAACCCUGGGUGGAAGCUGUGGCUGCGUCCCAGCUGGAGCGCACCCACCUCCACCGCAGCAGCACGCGCAUCCAAGCAGCUCCCUUGUGGUUGUGGAGCAGCAUCCAGAGGGAUCCCCGCAGCGAGGGUGAAGGCAGAGAGCUGCUGCCAUCAGAGCCUUCCCUCCCUGCCGUUGCUUUCAUCUUCCCGAGGGAAAAGCAAACAGAGGGGAACCAGAAAGCUUUGUGGCUACGAAGUCUCACAUCUGGUUUUAGCUCCAUGAGACGUACUCCCACCCCCUCCUUGAAUCAUUAAUGUUAAACAAACAGAACCCCGGUGAUUUUUCUGGAUUUCAGUGCUUGGACCCCUUACGAGCAGCUUUUGCUGCGAAUCCCACGAUUGCCCUCACCUCCAUCCCUAAGGAAAGCAACGCACCCCUCUUGGCAGGGAGGGAGAUGCUGCCAAAUGGCACAACUCCAUGGCUCCGGCACCGCAGGACGAGCAGCAACCCC
ensembl:lncRNA